UGAAGUGCAACAAGAACCUACACGCGGAUGACAUCAAAGUACUGCGAGAGCGACUCGAAAGAUCAUGGACAUCAUUCUGAUUUCAAAUCGCUCUCGCGGUAUUUUAACGUCAUCCGUUUGUCAGUUCCUGCAACUCAACUUUACGUUGAACACCUUGGCAAAAAUGAUUGAGAUGGCCAAUCAAAUCAAAAAAUGCGAGUGCCACUGGCCAAUCACAUAACAGAAGACGAGCUUUCCUGUUAACGGAGGCCGAGCGGCGACCAAUCAAAUUAACCAAUAGGCGGGGUUACCGCCAGGAGCAACAGUUACGUCGCGUCAAUCAAUCAUAACGGACACAGAUUUCAAAGGCAGCAGGAUGAAAGAUAACCAGUAAGUACCUAAACUUAAAUGUUUAAACUUUUCCAAUCAUAAAAAUGUUUUUGUUUAAAUGUCUAACAAACGUAUAAAGGGAUGCAAACGUUUACGUGAUUCGUGUGUAACGUAAUGUGUGACAAUUAACGUUAUAUUGAUAUUAAAUUAGCUGUUUUCUAUCAGGUUAAGAAUAACUGUGGUCAUAUUAUAAUGAAGUAAUCGAAUUUGGUAUCUGGUCUUCCUGAUGUUAGAACAUUUAUAUUAAAUAACAUAUGUAAAAAUGUAUUUCUGUAACGUUUAAUUUUCUUUUUUGGUGAAAGUGUCUCUGUGUUCAUCAAGACAUGAAGACUCUGCAGUGGGACAAAAGAAGGAUGAUGGGGUGUAUAUUCCAAUAGACACAUUAAGGUAAAGAGGUGGGACAAGGAUGCUGACAGGACAGGAGGAGUUGACAUUCAGGUUAGUGACAGUACAUCAGGGCCACCAUUUAAUUUAAUGUUAAUUUGUUUGCUUCCAAAAUCAAUACUUGAAAAAUCUUUAGAAUUAUAUUUGCAAAGCUGAAUUUCUCAUAGGUGGAUAAAGUAUGACAGCAAUUGUGAAGACCUUAGACGUGCAGUAUAUGGUUCUUCUCUCUUUCAUUUAUAUUGAUUUGACUUAAUUUUCUUGGUAACUAAUAAUGGGGAUAUUCCUAAUAUAAUAUAUUUUAAAUACAUGCUUAGAACAUAUCUCAUUUGCUUUGUAUCUAAAUGAAAGUACGUCUUUAAGGUCUAAGCUAUGUUUCAUUUUAUUUGGACAUUCAGCGCAGACAUUUUCAUCCAAAGCAACUUGAGGAAGAAAACAGAAGCAGUUCAUCCUAAAAGUGGGCUGCUGUAAUGUUUACAUCUAUGGAAAGAGGAGCUGAGAAGAAAAGAGAGGCUGGAAAGCAGUACUUUUUGUUGGGGACAAUCCUGAAUAGGAACACUUUCUCAUACACCUAGAUUAUUAUUAGUGUUGGAUUUUUUUUUUUCAUUUUUAUUAAUUGUAUUAUUUUAAUUUUUCAUUUUAUUUGAAAUUACCUAAGUUAGAUUCAUGCUAAUACUUUAACUGGACCUUUUAUCUUUGCUGGCUGGCUGUAGAGUUGGUUUCACAUACACAUGAAGUUUCUAAUUAACUAACUUUUAAGUUCAGUUUGGUUUAAACUUGUAUUUACCCAUGGUAAUUCAUUUAAAUUUCUAUUCAUGCUAAUAUAUUAAUUUCAAUGAACUUCUGUAUUUGUAUAUAGCUGGCAAUUUGGGCAAACUACGUUUCACACACAAAUGUAACUGUCACAAAGUUUUUUUUUAUGAUCAGUUUGUUCUAAACUUUUGUUUGUUUACUAAGGAUGAAAUUGCUUUGUAAUUUAAGUUGUUGGUGUUAGAUUCAUGCCAAUAAUGUAUUUGAACAAACUAGUAUUUUUGUUUAUUGCUGGCAGUUUAUACUAGAAGAGUUUUAACACAUACAA